GCUACGGAGGAUUCCAACCCCUUGUGCCCCUGGAGGCAGCCCUUUUGCUCCGUGAACUCUCGUAGGCGCAAUGCUGCACGCUUCCUGCCGUCACUUCGGGCACAGGGACACCGCCGCUGCAUCACUGUCCCCAUAGGGACCCCUGAAGGGUGGGGCGCGGGGGUCUGAGCAGUUCAGGCUGCACCGAGCCGACUGGGCGGAGGGAGACCCCCCGCAGAGACCAGGCCGCUCCCACCUGCUGGCCGCUGCAACCAAUGAAAGCUUGGGCUGGUGAUGUCAUGCCCCGGCCGGACCCUGGUGACGAAGUCCGAGGUCACCCGUCAAGGAACCAGCAGCGCAAGCCCACCCGCGGGGCUUCCGGAAGUUUCCACUGCUGCAGCCUCGCCCCACAGCCUUGCGCGCGCCACCACGCUGGCCUGCCUUCUCGAUGUCCCCAUGUCACCUCCUCCUCCCCGUGAGGUGUCCCCUCAUCUUCAGGCAUGUUCCACGUCGUCUGCUCCGCCAGUGCCACCCUGAGGGGGUCCUCGUCCCUACUUUCACGUGUCGCUCCUCCCACGCCACCCCUGACUGUGUUCUGGCCAGAGAUGCUCGUUUAUUGGGUCCUUGUGCUAACUUCCCAGCCUCCAUCGAGGUCGUCCCUGUGUCCUCCGUCUGUGAAAGUCAGUUUGUCUGUGGCUGUCACUACAGAGGACGGUCUCCCACCUGCGUGUGCGUUUGUCCGUCUGUCAGUCCUCUGCGUGUCUGCCCCGCCAAUGCGGGUCUUCGGGUCGCG
rnacentral:lncRNA from 1 species